AAAAAAUUAAUUGUGGUAAAAUACAGGUUCAUUGGUGGAAAACAACAAAUCAUGAAGCUACUAAAAAAUUAUGUGAGAAGGCCCGUCGGGCAAGUGAGGAACGCCUCUGCCGGCCGCCGCCCUGUCUGGGAAGUGAGGAGUUCCUCUGCCCGGCCGUCCAACUGACUGGGAUGUGAGGAGCGCCUCUGACCCGCCGCUGCCCGGUCUGGGAAGUGAGCAGCGCCUCUGCCCGGCCGCCACCCUGUCUGCGAAGUGAGCAGCGCCUCUGCCCGCCCCACCCCCUCACCGUCUGGGAUGUUAGGAGCACCUCUGCCCGCCCGCCGCCCCAUCUGGAAUGUGAGGAGCGACUCUGCCAAGCUGCCGCCCUGUGUGGCAAGUGAGGAGCACCUCUGCCCGGCCGCCGCCCUGUCUGGGAAGUGAGGAGCGCCUCUGCUCGGCCGCUGUGCAACCCUCCAAGUGUGAGGUGACAGCCUUGUGUGUGAUCUUUCUGCUCUCCCCAAGUUUGCAUUUUCGACAUUAA
rnacentral:lncRNA from 1 species